CGACCGGCGCACGGGUGAGUAACACGUAUCCAACCUGCCGAUGACUCGGGGAUAGCCUUUCGAAAGAAAGAUUAAUACCCGAUGGCAUAGUUCUUCCGCAUGGUAGAACUAUUAAAGAAUUUCGGUCAUCGAUGGAGAUGCGUUCCAUUAGCUUGUUGGCGGGGUAACGGCCCACCAAGGCGACGAUCAGUAGCCGGCCUGAGAGGGUGGACGGCCACAUUGGGACUGAGACACGGCCCAAACUCCUACGGGAGGCAGCAG
rnacentral:rRNA from 1 species